UUUCUAAAGUUUAAGGCAAUCUUGUUUUUAUUGUCAAGAAAGUUGCAUCACAUUUUUGGCGCUGAUUUGGACAAAUUAUGCAAUUCCAUGUGAACCCAUUAUUAUUACCUAAGGGGUGAAAUGAAAUAACAAAUCGAAAAUAACGAAACACAUCUAUAUUACCAAGUUGUUGACUUUGUAUUUUUACAUUGAAGGGCAAAGAAAACUGUGUAUCCUAAAGCACUUAAGUGAAGAAAGUUGCAACUAACAUGAGCAAAAUCAGCGUAGAUUCUAAGAUUUGGUGAUCGGAGACAUAAGAUCAAUGAUCAUCUGCUACAUUGUUCUCGUUUAGAAGUCUCUGAUGAUCUUCUUUGCUCUUGUUCUUACUGUCCUUUGUGCUCAGUGGAAGUAAAGGCGUAGGAGAAGGUCCACUAGAACGUUCUGCCAUUUCUGCAAUAAGAACACGUUCAAUAUUUCUUCAGUUAGAGCACAAGGUUGACCAAAAACUAUGUGCAGUUAGAAUGGUCUGGCAAAAUUAGAGAAUUGUUUACUACAUCUAUCUUUGUAAUAAUCUUAUCUUUUGGGUGAAUAACAAGGUAGCCAUACCAGAUUGAC